rnacentral:lncRNA from 1 species
UUCGAAUUGCUAAGGUUACAGGUUGCACUCUAAUACUUGUAAUUUCAAUUAGAGGUAAAAAGGGGAUUAGGAAUGAAGGGGUACCUGAAGGUAAGAGGGAUGCAAGGGAUGAAUAUCUGUUGUAAAAGCACCAUCCGUUCGUGGCCGUUUACCAGCUCUGUCUGGCACCUGUGCGGGUGGCACGUAAAAAAAGGGCAUCCAGCCGUAGAAACACUGCCAGAUCAGACUGGAGCCUGGUGCAGCCUUCUGGCUUCACAGACCCCAGUUGAACUGUCCAACCCAUGCUAGCAUGGAAAACGGACGCUAAAUGAUGAUGAUGAUGAAUCAUAGGGGGGAAUGAGAGGGAAAAAGAUAUAGCUAAAUGACUAGUUGUUCUGAAAACAUAAGGAAUUAAUCCUAGGAGGUUAAAGUUAAUGAUUAUUAAAAAUAAUGAUGAAAUAAUUAGUGAAAAGCCUCCUAGAUUGUUUCUAAAAGAUCGAGUAAUUUGAAUGUUAAUGAUUUGUUUUGGGAUUAUUAAAGAGGAAUUUUAAAAAAUGAAGGGAAAAUUCAAAAUGAAGAAUUAAUGAGAAAAAGAGAUCAUAGGGAUAGAAUUCAUGUUAGAGAAUAAAGAUAUAAGGUUGUUGAAUUAUGAUCAUCAAAUGAAGAAAAAAUAUCUACUAUCAUUU